ACAAGCGGUGGAGCAUGUGGUUUAAUUCGACGCAACGCGAAGAACCUUACCAAGGCUUGACAUCCCCUGACCGCGUAUGAAAGUACGUUUUCACCCUCGGGUGACAGGGAGACAGGUGGUGCAUGGUUGUCGUCAGCUCGUGUCGUGAGAUGUUGGGUUAAGUCCCGCAACGAGCGCAACCCUCACUGUGUGUUAUAUGUGUCACACGGGACUGCCGGUUUUAAGCCGGAGGAAGGUGGGGAUGACGUCAAGUCAGCAUGGCCUUUAUAUCCUGGGCUACACACACGCUACAAUGGUCGGUACAAUAGGUUGCCAAGCCGCGAGGCGGAGCCAAUCCAAAAAAGCCGGCCUCAGUUCAGAUUGUAGGCUGCAACUCGCCUGCAUGAAGAUGGAGUUGCUAGUAACCGCAGGUCAGCAAUACUGCGGUGAAUACGUUCCCGGGUCUU
rnacentral:rRNA from 1 species